rnacentral:lncRNA from 1 species
CCUUUCUCAUAUAUGUAUGUAUGUACAUAUACAUGUAUGCGUGUAUGUGUUAAUUACAAUAGCAUUCACAGAUCUGAACACACUAUAUUAUAAUCAAUUGUAGACAUUAUCAUUUUCAGAUGUUCAAAUAUGUCAUAAAUUUAUCCAAUACAAACAUCUUCAAACCAGGUAAUCUUUCUUCUUCCCAUGAUCCCAUUGGUUGUCAAACUCCCUUGCUUUCUGGUAGAUAAAAUGUCCCAGACACUACAUGUACUAAAGUUGCCCCAGAUAUGAAAUCAACUUACUAGCAAUGAAGAGGAAUAAAUUGCCUGCUUGGAGCACUUUGGAGCAGGCACAGGGAAACUGUGGCUUGGUCCCUUUGGGGUCCCUUGCUAAGAGGUCUCAGAAGGAUGCAAAUGUUCCAGAUGCUACCAUCUAUUGCAGAAAAGGGUCUACCUGAUGGGUGAAGCUGGUGGUUGCCCAACCAAGCCAAUAUCUGGGUGGAAAAAUCUACCUAGUUCAAGGGUGGAGGACUGGCCCAUUGCGGCUGGGGGUUUCAGCCAAGACAUCAAUCUACAUUUUAUCAGGAAUGGAAUGGAGAUUUUGAUUUCUAGUCAUCCUGAUUCCUCUCCACCCCUCAGGUGGUACACUUGAGCAAGUGUGAUGAGUAUCAUUUUAUUGGAUUCAAAACCAUCAUAGCAUUCAUUUAAAUAAAAGUCUCAACAUUAAAUACAGGCGCAAAUAUAGACACAAACACAAAUGCAUAUACAUGCAACAAAGAAUGAAAUUUUACCUAAAGAAAGAUGAUAUAGUUUUUGAGCUUAAUAAAUUAUAAUUCCCAAAGACUAAUCAGUUAUUAAUAACUUUAACAAAACUAAAUUACCUAGGCUGUUCAUAAGGGCUAGUGAAAGUACAGCCUACAAAAGAGCUAAAAUUCUUAAAAUGUGCUUUGUCCUAAAGGGGCACUUGGUUCAGCCCAGGAGUGGGCACAAGCCAUUUUCCUGACUCUGCUAGUAAUGUCCUCAACCUGUAUGAGCUACUGCACUUUGCCAAAAACACAGGGAACUCUAUCCAAUCUCUUGGGAUAGUGGGAGUUCCUGCUGUGAUGCAGCAGAAGUGAAUCUGGCUAGUAUUCAUGAGGAUGCCAAUUCAGACCCUGGCCUUGCUCAGUGGGUCAGGGUUCCAGCAUUUCCACAAGCUAUGGUGUAGGUUGCAGACAUGGCUUGGAUUCUGCAUCGCAGGGGCUGUGGUGUAGGCCAGCAGCUGCAUCUCCAAUUUGCUCCAGUUUGACCCCUAACCUGAGAAUCUCUAUAUGCCGUGGGUGUGGCCCUAAAAAGACCAAAAAAAAAAAGUCUUAGGAUAUAACAUGAUGGAAGAUAAUAUAAGAAAGCGAAUGCCUAUAUAUGUAUGACUGGGUCACUAAGCUUUUACAGGAGAAACUGACACAACACUAUAAAUCAACUACACUUUAUUUAUUUAUUUUUUAAAGAGUGGCUUAGGUCUGUCUCAUAGAAUCCACUUAGUAUGGUCUCUCUUUCUAAAUGGGUACUGUAUUAGACAAAGACUAUUUUUUUUCACAUAUAUGU